CACACACACACACACACACACACACACACACACACCUCCUUUAGACAGGAUGGCGGGCCAAACGUUAAUCAUAUAAAACCAAGUUUAUCAUUUACAUUCUGGAGUUAGUUUCGUUUUAAAUUAAGAACAAAGUUAAAGAUGUGAGUACAGGGAUGAACUCAGGACAAGAAACCCACUGAACUUGAAAGAAACCACCAAUAUGCUAAAGAAAGGGUAGUUUGCAGUGCUAUGGAGGCUAAUUUUACUUAUAUUAUUUAUCGUUUGCCCUACACCAUAUAUCUAUGGCCUUAUAUUUUUAUACAAUAGUUUCCACCGGUUCAAUCAUCAAUCACUCCAAACCUACAAGAGGGUAUUUCUAGUGACCGGGGUCGAAUCAGUUACCAGUUGUACUGACACUGACAGCCAAAGGCCAUGGUAUGGUCCGAGUCUUGUCCAAACAGCAGAGUACAACGCAGCGCGCACACGCUGCAGUCGAGAGUUGACCAGAAAGGAGUGAAUGAAGAUAGUUGCUAUGGCAACAGCAAUACCUCUAUGGAUGACAGGUGUUUCAUGAUUGUUUUUUACGUAACAAAACAUUGGUAAACAUACGUUAAAAUACCCUCUAUCCUUAAAAUGAAGCAAAUAUACAGCCUUGUAUAGUUAAAUUGUUUGCUACAGCUACGGUGCCGUGGAUUUGUCGAUAUUUGCAAUAAACUCCUCCAAUGCCAUAAUGUUUCCACAGAUGUACUUUACAUAAGCAUAUGUGAAACAUUUGUUGCUGCAGCUGCAGCUCUGCAACAAUGUCUCCCAGAGGCAGCACGUAAUUGUUCAGUUUUAUCGUGGGCGUUGCUGUGCCUGUAACAACCUCCCCUAUUCUUUCUAGAUGCAAGCUAAUUCUUGCACUGAGCAUUUUCAAGGUACAUUUAAGGUUCAAGGUACAUUUGUUUGUCAUUCUACAACACAGGGCUGCACAAUGAAAUUAAAGUUGUAGCCCCCUUCACGCUAGUUAAUUAUUAGUUAGUGUCAAUGUGGUCAUUUUUAACUGUUUAACUGUAACUGCAUUAUUUUAUAAUGGAGCACAUGUGUUACCAAAUAGUUUUAGCUGAAGCUUAACAGUGAAAUGAAAUGACUGCAGUUGCUUGGUAUAGAAAAGCAUGUAAACACUGUCUUGUCACUGCUGCCCAAAUAAAGCAAGGCAUCUCUUUAUGAUACAUUUUAUGCAUAUUGCAUAACCAUAUGAUAUGUCUUUAGUAAUAUGUGUAAAAGGAAUAUGUUUGUAGUAUAAAACAUUUGUCAUCAAAGCAAAAUUAGCCAAAGGUCACACAGGGACACAACACAGUUAUUUAGUUAUUUUCAUUUGAUGACUUGCACAGUGAUGGUUCUGCACUGUUUGCUGCAGGUGAGGCUUACCCAGCCACAGUCUUACCAGAGAUAUGAAUGAAUAAUGGAUAUUAUAAGGAGGUUUGUCCUCAAGACAUGCAGUGACAGCAGACAGUGUUAUACUAAUAUACUGAUAAUGACAUUUCGACAUAUGCCUUGUAGACAAACAGCAAAGAUUAAGAAGUAUAACAUGAAAUUUAAAGUCCAGACCAAAAUAAGCUGCUGUCAACAUGUUUUUGAGUAUGUAUCAUUUCACACUGAAAACCAUUUCUACUAUAUUGCGCUUGCAUUUUCUUUGGCAAUAUCACCACAGAAAAAGGGGCUCAAAUGUAAACACCUUUUAUUUUUCUACAGUUAACCUGGCGAAAUAUUUUGUUUAGUUUGUUAGACAAAAUGCAAAUGUGCAUACUGAAUUUAAUAAAUUUCUUUCUUUGGCAUGCAUAAAAAUUGCUUCGACAACACAGAUGUGUGGACCGCUACCACAACUACAAUCAUACUGACAUUGACAUACAGUACAGGUACAACAUAAUCACAUCCACUGUAAAUACAGUUCACAUAUGUCAUUCCUACUGUAUGAUCUAAGGGCAAUAUGGAUUUGGGCAAAUAACAUAUAUGAAAUGUAUUUCAGAGUUCUGUUUCUCAUUAAUAUCAGAGAUCUGCUUCUUCGUUGCAUGUAGUUGUCAGACAGUGAUGCUUUUACAGGACUUGACUGGCACAUUGAAAAAU